rnacentral:tRNA from 1 species
GCGCUUGUGGCGUAAUUGGUAGCCGCGCUAGACUUAGGAUCUAGUGUCUAACGACGUGGGGGUUCGAGUCCCCCCGGGCGCACCA